rfam:Anolis carolinensis chromosome 5, whole genome shotgun sequence.
AUCCCUGAGACAAAAGAUCUGGUCUGUGGCCAGCGACACGAAAGAGGAGGCUUUAAAGGAAUGGUCAGGUCCUCUUUUAAUCAUGAGAGAGAAAUUUCCCCACAUGGAGUCACCAGAAAAUUAAAAUAAAAUAGCAUGCUGACUGUACUUAGUUCCAACAAAUGCUAAGGAAAUUAAGAAAUAGCUUCACCAGG